UUGUCUCCUGCGGCUAUACAUAUGCAUACAUAUGUACAUGCACACAUUCAUAUAUGUCUGGCGAACCUCCUCUAACCAAUUCAACACGGAAAGCGCUUAAAAAUUGGCUAUAUUAACAAACCAUAGGAUAAUGUGAUAAACCUCAUACGGCGCGUUAAAGGUACGUAACUUAAUUAGUGUCCCUUAUGGUAGAACUAUCGAAGUGAUUGGACUAUGUGCUGCAAACAAAUCCUGUAUUAUGGACGCAAACGCUGCUACGCCCAACACAAAUCAUUUACACAAUAGAUAUUAGGUUCAAUGGUUCAUGUUUCAUAUGCAAUUAAACCAUUUGACCAGAAAUUGGAUGCAUCUAGUACUAGUGAAAUUAAUGAAAAAACAGAUCCUACAAAAACUCCUAAAGAAACCAAAAAGUCCACACCUCAUAUGCGCCGUUGGCACUUCCAGGCCACACGGGAAAUUUGACAUUUGUCACUCUUCCUCCAGCCUUCGUACGAUGGCACAAAUUGUUUAACUAUUUAAUACAAUAUACAUAUGUAUAUGACACUAGAUAAUGCUUGUAUAAAGUAAAUUUAAUAAUAAACACCUGGAGGAUGGGAUCAUGUGUAGAAGUUCACGCAAGUGAGGAAAGUUUUUGAUUGUCAUUCGCUUGGGAGUGACCAGAAACGAUUCUUCCCCACAUGGUUCAAGCAGCUCACGACUUCCGGUUUUAGACCAAGUAUCCCCUGGGUAGCCAACAGACAUCCGUUUGAAGGCGAGCUAAAGUGAGAAGGCGAAGCCCGCUUAUGCGGUUGUGCGUAGUGCUUGGGACCCACCACAUAAAAACGAAGUGCCAAUGAAAAAUCGACGAAAGCCUCGAAUGAGACACCCCCCUUUUGAUGACGACCCCUGCAAACGUUUUAAGGAUAAUGAUUUAAGGGCAUGCACUUGGAAUGUCCCGACCCUUAAUUGGGAAGGUGCCUCUGCCCAGCUGGUUGAUGUCCUCAUACGACUAAAGGUUGACAUCACCGCCCUCCAAGAAGUGCGGUGGACGGGACAAGGACGAAAGAAGGUGGGUCCUUGUGACAUCUAUUACAGCGGCCGUAUAAAGGAGCGCAAAUUUGGUGUUGGAUUUGUGGUGGAAGAGGACUCCGUCGCCGGGUUGUGGCAUUCUCCCCGGUGGAUGAACGUCUAUCCACAAUCCGCAUAAAAGCGAGGUUCUUCAAGAUAUCGCUUAUUUGCGCCCACGCCCAAACGAAAAAGAAGGACGAUGUGACCAAAGAUACUUUCUAUGAGCGUCUAGAACGCAUAUACGAGCUCUGCCCCCGCCACGAUGUCAAAAUCGGCACAACAGUCGAAAAAUUCAGCCUCCAUGACGAAACAUUGCCAAACGGCCUGAGGCUGAUCGACUUCGAUCAGGCCCGAAAUAUGGUCGUCUGGUGUACCAGAUUCCAGCACAGUAAAAUUCAUCAAGAAACAUGGCUGUGUCCUGUUCGAAACAAGCGUAACCAAAUCGAUCAUGUUGUGAUAGACGGAAGACAUGCCUCCAGUGUGUGCGUACUCUCCGAGGACCAGAUAUAGACUCGGACCAUUAUCUGGUAGCAGCAGAUACGCACCCGCCUCUGACUCAAAAACACAAGGAAGGUUCGAUGUCAAAAAGCUGUAAUCGCAACAGACGGCCCAGAAAUUCUCUACACGACUUGCACUUCUGCUUUCUGAGAACACUCAUCAGCAUCUCGGUAUAAGCGAACUGUGGAACUGCACCUCAAACUCACUGCGUAUCGCUGCAAAAAAUGAAAAAUGUCGAAAUUCGUGAGUAUGGAGUGCCUGAGAAGCUGGCGACAGGGGUAAUGCUCGAAAAGUUUAAGAAAAAAUUAAGCGAUUUAAAGAAUGUUUCAAGACCGGAGCAUUCUCAUGUAGAGAUCAAGGUGGUAAUCUUGUACCCGAUGUCCAGGGCAUACUGGGAUUAUGGAGGGAACACUUCUCCGACCUGCUGAAUGGCAGUGCGAGUACAACACCAGGAGAUGGCGAACCCGAUCCCCCAAUCGAUGACGAUGGAACAGAUGUUCCAUUACCCGACCAUGAAGAAAUUCGAAUAGCAAUUACCCGCUUGAAGAACAACAAAGCAGCGGGGGCCGAUAGAUUACCGGCAGAACUAUUCAAAUACGGCGGCGAAGAACUGAUAAGGUGCUUGCAUCAGCUUCUUUGCAGAAUAUGGUCGGAAGAAAGCAUGCCUGACGAUUGGAAUCUCAUUAGCUCUGCCCAAUCCAUAAGAAGGGAGAUCCCACAAUCUGCGCCAAUUACCGUGGAUCAGCCUCCUAAAUAUCGCAUACAAUGUUCUAUCGAGCGUACUGUGUGAAAGACUAAAGCCCACCGUCAACAAACUGAUUGGACCUUAUCAGUGUGGCUUUAGACCUGGAAAAUCAACAAUGGACCAGAUAUUCACCAUGCGCCAAAUCUUAGAGAAGACCCGUGAAAAGAGGAUCGACACACACUACCUUUUUGUCGAUUUUAAAGCUGCUUUCGACAGCACGAAAAGGAGCUGCCUUUACGCCGCGAUGUCUGAAUUUGAUAUCUCCGCAAAACUAAUACGGCUGUGUAAAUUGACGUUGAGAAACACCAAAAGCUCCAUCAUGAUUGGGAAGGACCUCUCCGAGCCGUUCGAUACCAAACGAGGUUUCAGACAAGGUGACUCACUAUCGUGCGACUUCUUUAACCUGAUGCUGGAAAAAAUUAUAAGAGCUGCAGAGCUAAACAGAGAAGGUACAAUCUUCUACAAGAGUGUACAGCUCCUGGCGUACGCCGAUGAUAUUGAUAUCAUCGGAAGAAACAACCGCGCCGUUUGUUCUGCUUUUUCCCGCAUGGAUUAGGAGGCGAAGCGAAUGGGUCUGGAGGUGAAUGAGGACAACACGAAAUAUCUCCUGUCAUCAAGCAAACAGUCUGCGCAUUCUCGUCUUGGCUCCCACGUCACUGUUGACAGUCAUAACUUCGAGGUCGUAGAUAAUUUCGUAUACCUGGGAACCAGCAUCAACAACACGAACAAUGUCAGCCUCGAAAUCCAGCGCAGAAUAACUCUUGCCUACAGGUGCUACUUUGGACUGAGUAGGCAAUUGAACAGUAAAGUCCUCUCUCGACGAACCAAAAUCAAGCACUACAAGUCGCUUAUCAUUCCCGUCCUGCUUUACGGUGCAGAAGCUUGGACGAUGUCAACAUCAGAUGAGACGACACUAGGAGUUUUCGAGAGGAAAAUUUUGCGCAAGAUUUAUGGUCCUCAGAACAUUGGCAACGGCGAAUACCGCAGACGAUGGAACGAUGAGCUGUACGAGUUAUACGACGACAUUGACAUAGUUCAGCGAAUAAACAGACAGCGGCUACGGUGGCUAGGUCAUGUUGUACGAAUGGACGAAAACACUCCAGCCCUGAAAGUGUUCGAUGCAGUACCCGCCGGAAGAAGGCGAGGAAGGGGAAGGCCUUCACUCCGUUGGAGGGACCAGGUGGAGAGCGACCUGAAAUAUGGAAAUGAAGAGGGUGAUACUCCAUCGCACUGUAAAGUCGAAGCACGCAAUAGAAGCUACGCCAACAAUGGUCAACAUCAAAGGCGAAACUAUUGAAUACAUAUUUCAAACCUCAUACGGCGCGUUAAAGGUACGCAACCUAAUUGGUGUCACUUAUGGAAGCAGCGUAGAACUUUCGAAGCAAUGGAAUAUGUGCUGCAAGCAAAACCAGAACUAUGAAUGCAAGCGCUGCUACAUCGACCACAAAUCACUUACACACCAGAUAUUAGGUUUAAUAUCUCUGUUUUACGCACAAUUAAACCUUUUGGUUAACAAAAGCACGGGCAGAAUUGGAAUGACAUGGUUUAGGUGCUUUUGUAACCGUUUAUCAUAGCAGUUGCAAUAUUUUUGGACUUACCGGCACCUUAGUUGGCCGUGCCAUUAGCAGCUAAAACACAGAAAUUAAAGGGAGGACUUUUUUGAUUCAUUUUCACUUUAUAUUGAGGAAUCAUAACGUUGUUGUAUCGCUUUACAAGGACAUGGAUUCACCGAAAUGGAAAUACUACAGUAAGAGCAUGGAUGUUAAGACUAGAACGUUGCCCGUGCUAGAUUUAAAUUCCUGAAACAUAAGAAACGCUCCUUCCAAAAAUUGGGUGAAUCUAGUACUAGUGAAAUUAAGGAAAGAACAGACCUUACAAAAACUCCUAAGGAAACCAAAAGAGUCCUCACAUAAUAUGCGCAGUUUACAAUUGCAGGCCGCACGGGAUAUUUGAUAUUUGUCACUCUUCCUUCAGCCUUUGUCCGAUUGCAAAAAUUGUUCAUUUAUUCAAUACGUUAUAUAUAUGUAUAUUCAAUAAAUAUGUAAUUUAACUAAUUAUUU